rnacentral:rRNA from 1 species
AAACCAACAGGGAUUGCCCUAGUAACGGCGAGUGAAGCGGCAACAGCUCAAAUUUGAAAUCUGGCGUCUUUGGCGUCCGAGUUGUAAUUUGCAGGGGGCGCUUUGGCAUUGGCAGCGGUCCAAGUUCCUUGGAACAGGACGUCACAGAGGGUGAGAAUCCCGUACGUGGUCGCUAGCCUUCGCCGUGUAAAGCCCCUUCGAC